CUGCCGUCUGACCUCAGACCCGGAGCCGCCCCUCGCAGAUGCGCAGUGGCUCUGUCGCGCCCCAGACCGACCGAGAGGUUCGCCCGGAAUCCGGUGGGGCUGGGAAAGGCGCCCGGGACCUGUUCUUCUGCCUUAGAUGACUGGCCCAAGAGGAGCCCACGGCCCGACCCACAGACCGCUCCAGAAGGCUUCUCCUGACACCCGUCCCCGGGUCUGCUUCCCUGAGCCGGGCCUCAGAGGCUCAGGCGACAGCAGCCGCGUCCUCUGCCCCUCCAACAGCCGCUGCACGUUGCGGAGGGAGGCAAAGCUUCGGAGCCCUUGCUGUCCAUUGUAGGUGAGCAAUGUUUGCUGUGGUAGACAUGCUCCGUGUGUGUCCUUUGCUGGUGUCAAGGCAACACAGCUCGUGGAGCUGGAGGAAAUCCUCAUGCACAGCUGCCGACAUGGAGACUGUGAGGUCGAAACCCAAGACCAGGACAGGCUGUAGUGACUUUAAUUCAUCUUAAAAUGUACAUCAAGAAACUGAAAGGAAAUAUGCAACCCAUUAAAUGUUCCCCUGGAAGAGCACAGAGAUGCAGAGCUGACAUAAUAACCCCUUUGCCAGGGUCGCUCUCCACUGUCAAUGGAGCACACUGGGCUCUGUGCGGUUCAAGCUGACCUGGAAGUUGCAGCAGUCCUCCUGCCUCAGCGUGCCUCCCAAGUGCUGGGAUUACAGGUGUGCAGCACCAGGCCCCCGCUUCCACUUCCAUUUGAACUCACUUAUCCCACUGACCUUGACAAUGUCUUUUAAGGGCCCCUCAGCCAGCUCCCCGGUGAUUCCCACCAGCCUGAUGCUGCUUUUGGCUUCUGCUGUUUGGCAUUUCCUGCUGUCGGAGCAGAAACCUCAGACUUCCCAUUCUCUGGGUCAGCCGCCUCAAGAUGUUUCCACAUUCUUCAAUCACCACCGAAAACGCAAAAGCAACCAGAGUCCCAGGCGGAAUGACCCGGCCUGCAGGCUGCCCUGGAGGUGAGGGCCCACGAGUGUCCCUGAGGACUGCGGCAUGGGCCAGUGGUGGCCCAGCAGCCCCUCAGGCCACCACGAGUCCCCCAGGCUGCGGUGAGACGGCCCGCGGAGAGAGGCUGCGCUGCAACGUGAGCGGUUUUAGCCGGGCAGAUCCACCUUACGCAUCCCGGCGGGAGAGAGGAGUCAGGUACGGGCCCGCUGGGCUGCGGACCGCACACACUGCACAGACUCCACCCUGGCGCGGCAGUGCGCCCGCGCCCUGGACUUCCGCCCUUCCUCGCCGAGGAGAACCCCAGUGCCGGGUUUAACUCGGAGCUUUGCACGCGUGAGGAGUCAGUCGCCGCCGCGCUCCGCCUCCUCCCCUCCGUGCCGGCCUGGCCGCCCGACCCGGUGGGAGCUGCUGCUCCUCACUCCCAGCCGGGCUAGGUGGCCGCUUCCCUCCCUGCUCUCCCCGCACUCCCAGUGCACAUAAGUCUGCCGCGCUCAGACUGCGUCCGUCCGGCGUUUUCUUUGGCACAUCCGGAAGAACAAGCGACCUUCGAUGGUGGUGCUGGGGGUGAGGUGGGAGCCACUCAGCUCUGGCCACAGCAGCCCCGCGUGACGAGCCCGGGAAGCCCUGACUGUCACACCCAGGGCUGGGGCUCGGCCUCCCCGCCUGCGUCUGUGGCCGACUGCACCUGCCUAGCUGGUAGCUCCCCUCUGGAGGCCUUCCCUGCCCCCUGGACUGACGAGCUACCCGCCGCGCGCUCACGGUGAUUCCAGAAGCGUGGGAAAAGCAAAUGGAGAUCUUUUGUUUUCUUAGAUUCUUUUAUUGGUACACUUUAGGUAUACAAU